AGCAGUAGCCGCGGUAAUGCGUAGGUCCUGAGCGUUGUCCGGAUUUAUUGGGCGUAAAGCGAGCGCAGGCGGUUAGAUAAGUCUGAAGUUAGAGGCUGUGGCUUAACCAUAGUACGCUUUGGAAACUGUUUAACUUGAGUGCAAGAGGGGAGAGUGGAAUUCCAUGUGUAGCGGUGAAAUGCGUAGAUAUAUGGAGGAACACCGGUGGCGAAAGCGGCUCUCUGGCUCGUAACUGACGCUGAGGCUCAAAAGCGUGGGGAGCAAACAGGAUUAGAUACCCGGGUAGUCCCUGUCUCUUAUACA
rnacentral:rRNA from 1 species